AAAAUGCCCACUGGAUGACCGUGGUCAUGCACAUGAUCAAGAAAGAAUUCCAAGUUCUCGAUUCACUCUAUCCUCUGGAGCUGACAGAAAAGACUGUCAAAGCACUGCGAAUGGCUAUAGCAAACGAUUUUCGCCAAGCAAAUCUUAUUACACCAGGGAAAUAUCCGGACGUAAGUAAGUGGCCUAUCAACGAGUAUGACAUGCCGCAGCAAGAGGAUGGGAACUCUUGUGGCC